rnacentral:rRNA from 1 species
CAAGGAGUUUAUCGUGUACGCAAGUCAUUGGGUGUAUAAAACCCAAAGGCGAAAUGAAAGUAAAGAGUUAAGAAGCCUUAUUCUCUUAAGGGAAGAUGGAAAUUUCAUAUGCAUUUUAUGUAUAUGUAAAAUUUCCCGCACUCCCAGGGCGCUUGUGUUUCGCUUUUGUUUCGAAUCAAUGCGCACCUAGAGCGUACACGAUGAUACCCGAAAGAUGGUGAACUAUGCCUGGCCAGGACGAAGCCAGGGGAAACCCUGGUGGAGGUCCGCAGCGAUUCUGACGUGCAAAUCGAUCGUCGGAGCUGGGUAUAGGGGCGAAAGACCAAUCGAACCAUCUAGUAGCUGGUUCCCUCUGAAGUUUCCCUCAGGAUAGCUUGCACUCGGUUGAGACGAGUCUCAUCCGGUAGAGCGAAUGAUUAGAGGCAUUGGGGUCGAAACGACCUCAACCUAUUCUCAAACUCCAAAUAGAUGAGAUCCCCGGCUUUCUUAAAAGUGAAGCCGUGGGGAUAUGAUCAGAGUGCCAAGUGGGCCAAUUUUGGU